UACGUAGGAGGCGAGCGUUGUCCGGAGUUACUGGGCGUAAAGGGUGCGUAGGCGGCGCGGUAAGUCGGGUGUGAAAUCUUGGAGCUUAACUCCGAAACUGCAUUCGAUACUGCCGUGCUUGAGGACUGGAGAGGAGACUGGAAUUUACGGUGUAGCGGUGAAAUGCGUAGAUAUCGUAAGGAAGACCAGUGGCGAAGGCGGGUCUCUGGACAGUUCCUGACGCUGAGGCACGAAGGUCAGGGGAGCAAACGGG
rnacentral:rRNA from 1 species